rnacentral:rRNA from 1 species
AUUGAACGCUGGCGGCAGGCCUAACACAUGCAAGUCGAGCGGUUGAGGUAGCUUGCUACCGAUGCAGCGGCGGACGGGUGAGUAAUACAUGGGAAUCUGCCUGGUAGUGGGGACAACGUUUCGAAAGGAACGCUAAUACCGCAUACGCCCUACGGGGAAAGGGGGGGAUCUUCGGACCUCUCGCUAUCAGAUGAGCCCAUGUCGGAUUAGCUUGUUGGUGAGGUAAAGGCUCACCAAGGCGACGAUCCGUAACUGGUCUGAGAGGAUGAUCAGUCACACUGGAACUGAGACACGGUCCAGACUCCUACGGGAGGCAGCAGUGGGAAUAUUGGACAAUGGGCGCAAGCCUUGAUCCAGCCAUGCGCGUGAGUGAUGAAGGCCUUAGGGUUGUAAAGCUACUUUUACCCGGGAUGAUAAUGACAGUACCGGGAGUAAGUAAG